AUUAGAAUAUUAUUUUUAUAGAAUAAAUUUAUUGAGAUUUUAAGAAAAAUAAUUUUUUUUAAGUAAAUUAAAAGAAAGGGGUUAGUAAGUAAAUUAUGAUAGUUGAUUAGUAUUGUGAAAGAAAUUUUAAUUUUUGAUAAAGAAUAAAUUAUUUUUGUACCUUGUGUAUCAGGGUUAAUUAAAUUUUAUAUUUAUUUUUAAUUUCUCGAAUAUAAAAGAGUUAAAUUUAUAUAAAUUUAUUGUUGAAUAAAUAUUUUUAAUGUAAAUUUGGUAAUGAAACGUUAUUCGUUUUUAUUAUAUCUAGUUAUUAAAGAAAAAAGUUUAAUUUUUUUAUUAUAAAAAUUUAUUUUUAUGGGGAAUAAAAUUUUAGUAAUAAGUUAUUUUUAAGGGGAAAAGCUUUUAUUAAAAAUAUUAUAAAUUAAUAAUUUUAUAAAAAUAAAUAGGGUUAGAAGUGCUUAUUUUUAAGAUUAUGUUGUUAUUAUUUUUUUUUUAUUUAUAAUUUUUAUUAGUUUUAAAUUUUUUAUUUAAUUAAUAAUUUUAAUUUUUUAAGAUUAUGCAAUAAUGAUUAAAUUAGUAAUUAAGAAUGUAUUAUAUUUUAGAGAGUUAGUUAAUUUAAAGGAAUUCGGCAAAUUUUUUUUUCACCUGUUUAUUAAAAACAUGUCUUUUUGAAGAUAAUUUAAAGUCAAACCUGCCCAGUGAUGUAAAUUUAACGGCCGCGGUAUUCUAACCGUGCUAAGGUAGCAUAAUCAUUAGUUUUUUAAUUGAAAGCUUGUAUGAAUGGUUAAAUGAGAAAAAUUCUGUCUCUAAAUUAUUUUAGUUGAAUUUUAUUUUUAAGUAAAAAAGCUUAAAUUUUAUUAAAAGACGAGAAGACCCUAUAGAGUUUUAUAUAAUUAGGGAAUUUAAAGGAUUAGUAAUUAUUUGUUAAUAUUUUUUAUUAUAUUUAGUUGGGGCGAUAGUAAAAUUUAAUUAACUUUUAUUUGAAAAAUCCAUAAAUUUAUGUAUAUUUGAUCCAUUAUUUUUGAUUAAAAGAAAAAAUUACCUUAGGGAUAACAGCGUAAUUUUUUUUGAGAGUUCUAAUCGAUAAGAAAGAUUGCGACCUCGAUGUUGGAUUAAAAUUUAUUUUUGGUGUAGAAGCUAAAAUUUUUGGGUCUGUUCGACCUUUAAAAUUUUACAUGAUCUGAGUUUAAACCGGUGUGAGCCAGGUUGGUUUCUAUCUUUAAUUAAAUUGUAUAUUUUAGUACGAAAGGACCGAAUAUGUAAUAUAUUAUUUAUUUUUGAAUAAUAUU
rnacentral:rRNA from 1 species